GAUGAACGCUGGCGGCGUGCUUAAUACAUGCAAGUCGAGCGAACAGACGAGGAGCUUGCUCCUCUGAAGUUAGCGGCGGACGGGUGAGUAACACGUGGAUAACCUACCUAUAAGACUGGGAUAACUUCGGGAAUCCGGAGCUAAUACCGGAUAAUAUAUUGAACCGUAUGGUUCAAUAGUGAAAGACGGCUUUGCUGUCACUUACAGAUGGAUCCGCGCCGCAUUAGCUAGUGGGUAAGGUAACGGCUUACCAAGGCAACGCUGCGUAGCCGACCUCAGAGGUUGAUCGGCCACACUGGAACUGAGACACGGUCCAGGCUCCUACGGGAGGCAGCAGUAGGGAAUCUUCCGCAAUGGGCGAAAGCUUGGCGGAGCAGCGCCGCGUGAGUGAUGAAGGUCUUCGGAUCGUAAAGCUCUGUUAUUAGGGAAGAACAAAUGUGUAAGUAACUGUGCACGUCUUGACGGUACCUAAUCAGAAAGCCACGGCUAACUACGUG
rnacentral:rRNA from 1 species